rnacentral:rRNA from 1 species
UACGAAGGGGGCUAGCGUUGCUCGGAAUCACUGGGCGUAAAGCGCACGUAGGCGGAUUGCUAAGUCAGGGGUGAAAUCCUGGAGCUCAACUCCAGAACUGCCUUUGAUACUGGCAACCUUGAGUCCGGGAGAGGUGAGUGGAACUGCGAGUGUAGAGGUGAAAUUCGUAGAUAUUCGCAAGAACACCAGUGGCGAAGGCGGCUAUCUGGACUGUGAUUGACGCUGAGGCGCGAAAGCGUGGGGAGCAAACAGG